ACGGGAGGCAGCAGUAGGGGAUAUUGGGCAAUGGGGGGAACCCUGACCCAGCCAUGCCGCGUGAGGGAAUGAGGCCCUACGGGUCGUGAACCUCUUUUGCCCGGGGAUAAGGCGCUCCGCGAGACGGGGCGUUGCAGGUACCGGGCGAAUAAGCAUCGGCUAACUCCGUGCCAGCAGCCGCGGUAAUACGGAGGAUGCGAGCGUUAUCCGGAUUCAUUGGGUUUAAAGGGUGCGCAGGCGGCCUGUUAAGUCAGCGGUGAAAUGCAGGGGCCCAACCCCGGCAGUGCCGUUGAUACUGGCGGGCUGGAAUGCGGUCGAGGCGGGCGGAAUGUGGCGUGUAGCGGUGAAAUGCAUAGAUAUGCCACAGAACUCCGAUAGCGAAGGCAGUCCGCCAGGCCUGCAUUGACGCUCAGGCACGAAAGCGUGGGGAUCGAACAGGAUUAGAUACCCUGGUA
rnacentral:rRNA from 1 species